GUCUUGAAAGUGGACUUUGAGUAUUUCCUAGGUGUAUUACUGCGUGAAAAGAAAGGCUGGAACACAUUGAAUGGUUUCGUUCUUAAAACUUUUUUCCUCGCCUCCUGACUCGUCAGGUGACCGGGGCGCCAUCAUUCACUUUGGGGGAGGCCAGCUGCCAUAUCAUGAAGACAUUCAAGCAGCCUUUUGAGAGGUCCAUUUGGGAAGGAACUAAGGCCUCCUGCCCACAGUCAUGAGAUGCAAUCACCAACCACCUUGAACCGGCCCAAGCCUCACCACAAGAGCUACCCCUAUG